rnacentral:rRNA from 1 species
UACGAAGGGGGCUAGCGUUGUUCGGAUUUACUGGGCGUAAAGCGCACGUAGGCGGCUUUGUAAGUUAGAGGUGAAAGCCCGGGGCUCAACUCCGGAAUUGCCUUUAAGACUGCAUCGCUAGAAUUGUGGAGAGGUAAGUGGAAUUCCGAGUGUAGAGGUGAAAUUCGUAGAUAUUCGGAGGAACACCAGUGGCGGAAGGCGGCUCACUGGCUCGGUACUGACGCUGAGGUGCGAAAGCGUGGGGAGCAAACAGG